GAGUGCUUGUGCGUAUGCAGUGGUGUUGUUUGAAGGAGAAGGCUGUGUGGGAAUUGCCUACAAGACCUGGAUUGAAAGCCGGGAGGAUGCUCUCUUUUGCUACUGGCCAAAAGAUAGUGUAAGUGCUCUCAAGAGAGCAAAGAGAAAGGAAAUGCCAGAUAAGGAUAUGUGGACAAGACACAAAGUCAUGGUUGUUUCAUAUACUGAUGAUUUUGAUAAAGCACAGCGUCACGCACGAAAGGCCGAGGACACUGACAAUGUGGCCACUGAGGACGAAAUGGAGAGGAGGAGGAAAGUGCCCAAGCGAUAUGAAGCAACAACAGACACUGGUACGUAAAAAUAUUGGCUGUUAUCCUGUUGGCUG